GUAUAUACUUUAAGCUAAUAAGAUUUUUUUCUGAUUCUGUUUAUUCAAAUUUGAUCACUUCUCGAUCACUUAAUCUAAGCAUGGAACAUCAGCAUUUCUUAGAAUAAUAAUUGUUUCCACUCGUAAAUCCAUUAAUCAGCUUUUGCACCACUCAAACGAUGAAUUUCACUAUUUUCAAGCACUACUUUAGACAGGACGAAUCUAUUUUCAAGCGUGGUCCAGCAUGCACAUGGCAUCACUCACCGAUAUUGACGAUCCUGAUGCCCUCGUCCUCCAGGAAUUUAAGAGCGACGGACACGUUCUCCAGCUUCUGGGAGCGAAAGGUGGGCCGUUGGUUGUGUUUUGGUAGCCGCUUCUGGGAGAGCACCUCGAUGAGGCUCACCAGCCGAAGACCAUCGGAUAGGUCGCAUUCCAGGUCGCCGAUGUGCUUGUUCACCGCCUUCAGUCGUUCGUUUGCCCAUCUCGUGAAGGUGUUCUGUUGAAUUCGCUUCCACUGCGCGUCUUCGGCCAGUUCGCGCUCGAACAUCUCGUCCUCCUCCUCCUCGGCGGAGUUCUCGCACUUAACUGACUUAUCAUUCUCAUUCAUUUUAUCGGCCGGUCCGCUGCUACGCUCUCACGGAUAAGGGUGGUGGGGUGCGCGCCCCUGUGUUGGUACCUGCGGAUCGUAGUGUUUGUAGUCGCGAGUGCUAUCAGUGACGAGAGCAAGAUGCGACUAUGUUGGUGACUCGAGAAAUAGCGAUGGGCACAAACUAAUAUCGGUAUCGAUACCACUCGGAAGUGCGUCGUGCCCAUCACUAGCGCGAGUACGCACACCUGUGAAAUAAUCGAAAAAGAGGUGGAUGUCGGUGAACCUACCUGCCGUGUGCCGGCGAACGAACGUUGACACUUCAGUCAAGAAGAUUCGAAAUUCCACUUCACUCAAACAUAAAACGAUCAAGCUGUCAUCGAACUUCAAGAUUUUACCACUUAUAUGUCUUUAUAUUAGAAACUUAAUUAAUAUUUCUUUG